rnacentral:rRNA from 1 species
UGAGUGCGAGCUGCUACGGCAGCGAAGUUGGUGAUGUCAUGCUUCCAAGAAAAGCCCUAUACCCGUUAAGGCAUCAUGGCCUGUACCCGAAACCGACACAGGUGGGGUGGUAGAGAAUACCGAGGGGCGCGAGGUAACUCUCUCUAAGGAACUCGGCAAAAUGGCCCCGUAACUUCGGGAGAAGGGGUGCCACCGCAAGGUGGUCGCAGUGAAGAGGCCCAGGCGACUGUUUACCAAAAACACAGGUCUCCGCUAAGUCGCAAGACGAUGUAUGGGGGCUGACGCCUGCCCAGUGCCGGAAGGUUAAGGAAGCUGGUCAGCGCAAGCGAAGCUAGCGACUGAAGCCCCGGUGAACGGCGGCCGUAACAAUAACGGUCCUAAGGUAGCGAAAUUCCUUGUCGGGUAAGUUCCGACCCGCACGAAAGGCGUAACGAUCUGGGCGCUGUCUCGGAGAGAGGCUCGGCGAAAUAGAAUUGUCUGUGAAGAUGCGGACUACGUGCACCCGGACAGAAAGACCCUAUGAAGCUUUACUGUAGCUUGGUAUUGUGCUCGGGCUCGCAAUGCGCAGGAUAGGUGGGAGGCUUUGAUCAUCGGCUUGCGGGUCGAUGUGAGCCAACGGUGAGAUACCACUCUUUGCGAGCUAGGGUUCUAACGGCCACCCGUCAUCCGGGGGCCGGACAGUACCUGGUGGGCAGUUUGACUGGGGCGGUCGCCUCCUAAAAGGUAACGGAGGCGCGCAAAGGUUUGCUCAGGCUGGUUGGAAAUCAGCCGACGAGUGUAAAAGCAGAAGCAAGCUUGACUGUGAGACCAACAAGUCGAACAGGGAGGAAACUCGGCUUUAGUGAUCCGACGGUUCUGAGUGGAAGGGCCGUCGCUCAACGGAUAAAAGUUACUCUAGGGAUAACAGGCUGAUCUCCCCCAAGAGUUCACAUCGACGGGGAGGUUUGGCACCUCGAUGUCGGCUCAUCGCAACCUGGGGCUGAAGUCGGUCCCAAGGGUUGGGCUGUUCGCCCAUUAAAGCGGUACGCGAGCUGGGUUCAGAACGUCGUGAGACAGUUCGGUCCAUAUCCGGUGCACGCGCAGGAAUAUUGAGAGGAUUUCUCCCUAGUACGAGAGGACCGGGAGGAACGCACCUCUGGUGUACCAGUUAUCGUGCCAACGGUAAACGCUGGGUAGCCAUGUGCGGAGUGGAUAACCGCUGAAAGCAUCUAAGUGGGAAGCCCACCUCAAGAUGAGUAUUCCCAUGGCGUAAGCCAGUAAGGUCACGGGAAGAACAUCCGUUGAUAGGCUCUAUGUGGAAGCGCAGUAAUGCGUGAAGCAGAGGAGUACUAAUAGACCGAGGGCUUGACC